AAUGACUCUCGACAACGGAUAUCUCGGCUCUCGCAUCGAUGAAGAACGUAGCGAAAUGCGAUACUUGGUGUGAAUUGCAGAAUCCCGUGAACCAUCGAGUCUUUGAACGCAAGUUGCGCCCGAAGCCAUUAGGCUGAGGGCACGUCUGCCUGGGUGUCACAC
rnacentral:rRNA from 1 species